CGGGAGCUCCCAAGCGGCCGGCCGGCUCUCCGCACCCCUCUCCUGCCAUGCCACAGCCGGCCAGCCAGCCCCAGUGUCCCGGCCCCGGGCCUCCGGGGUCCGGCGAGCAACCGCGUAGGCAACAGGAGACCCGCAGCAGCCGCCCCGGCCCCGCUGCGAGGGGGAGUGGGGUACUGACAUUUCUGCCGCCACGUAAGAGCCUCCGGAGAGUCCCUCCCGCCCCCUCCAGUCCCCUCCCUCCCCCCCAUGGCCCGAUCGACGUGUCAGCCCCAAAAGUUCAUUUCCAGGCCCUGGGAGAGUCCCCUAUAAAGGUCCCGGGGCGUGCGUGGGACAGUGAGACGUGGCACUGCGGGGCUGCAGCCGGGGCGCACAGGCAUCUCCCCAGCCAAUUCCCUGAACUGAUACUUUCAAAAUGAAGAGGAAGAUAAGAGUGGGAAUGAAGAAUGCCUUGGAGAAAUCCAGUCAUAAAGUUUGAGGAGAGGAAAUAUUAAUAACUCUGGUCUCUUACAUAGGUCAGAAUUUAGACUGAAAUGAUGUAAAGUUACAAACCUGAGACAUAAGGGCUAUUAAAUUUGAAUCAAGAUUCACAGAUUUUUAAAUCAAUGCAUAAUAAAAAUACUUGCU
rnacentral:lncRNA from 1 species